AGUAAGAAGCCUUUCUGCCUUCCUACUCUGUAACCCUGCUUUUCGUUUCCUGUGUGUCCUUUCAGAGCUCCUUUUGCUUUCAAAAGCAAAUACAAAUACAGGCAGCUUCUGAAUGGAUGGCCAAGUGACUCUGGAGCUUCCGCGCUAUGUGAGGGCUGGGCUUUCUGUCCCUGUUCACCCUCAAACCCAGGCUGCAGCCACUGCAUGGGAGAAGAUGGUUCAGACCGCACCUCUACCCUGACUCAGCACGCACAGCUAUACUGUCAGGGGCUGCAAACCAACAUCUCUCAGGGCCUUCCUGGAAGCUGCAGCUGGACUCCCUUUGUACUCCAGGGGAGCAUCCCAGGAGGCCCAGGUCGGGGCUCCUGGAGGGUCCCUGGGCUCUGGAGGACAGAAGAACAGGGAGGAAGAAUCCAGACGUGGCUCACUGGGCUCUGUGGAUCUGGCACUGGAAGAGCUGUCCAGGCUUUGGGGCCCCCAACACCCCAGCUGCUCUCCCUCAGGCCCCAGAUCUGCUUGGGCCCCCAGUGGGCAACCGCUCUGUGCUGGCACACCACAGGGAAAUAUUCUGGUGGAGGUAAGCUCUGCCCUGUUCUCAGAGAGCCCUGGCCAGGCCUGGUAGACAAAUUCCAGGCCAAGCCAUAGGAUUUGGACACUGGGGCUACAGGAGUUCAAGAAAGAGGAAUAAAGAAGCAGCCUUGAGUAUCAGUCAGUGAAUGUGGCCUGACAUUGGCAGAUGGCUUUAGCACAGGCUUCCUGGAGGAGGAGGGAGACUGCACUGAACGGGUUUCUGAAGCUUGUGCCCUGACGCCAAGCAUACCAGCACAUCACUUAUAGGAUGUGCAACUAUAAACAAGGGAUUUUGCCGCUCUG
rnacentral:lncRNA from 1 species